rnacentral:lncRNA from 1 species
GUUUACCUUCAACUAGAGCAGAAUCGUGUUUAAUAGUUAAAUUGCAUUUCAGAUCACCUGGUAUGAACUGUGUUUUCUCUCUGCUCAUAUACUUUCUCUUCCUCUUCUUCUUUUCUGUCUCAGGGCAGUGCAGGUCUGGAUGGUCUUCCAGGAAGUGACGGUGACCCCGGUGAGGAUGGUCCCAUAGGAGUACCAGGGUUUAUGGGAGAGCCUGGACCGUUUGGUGCAAAGGGCAAUAAAGGAGAUCGUGGCGUCAGGGGGCGUCGGGGCAGAGUCGGCGCU